rnacentral:rRNA from 1 species
UACGGAGGGUGCGAGCGUUGUCCGGAAUCAUUGGGCGUAAAGGGCGCGUAGGUGGCCCGGUCAGUCUUUGGUGAAAGCGCGGGGCUCAACCCUGCGUCGGCCAGGGAUACUGCCGCGGCUGGAGCACUGUAGAGGCAGGCGGAAUUCCGGUGGUAGCGGUGGAAUGCGUAGAGAUCCGGAAGAACACCGGUGGCGAAGGCGGCCUGCUGGGCAGCGACUGACGCUGAGACGCGAAAGCGUGGGGAGCAAACAGG